rnacentral:rRNA from 1 species
UACGUAGGGUGCAAGCGUUAAUCGGAAUUACUGGGCGUAAAGCGUGCGCAGGCGGUUGUGCAAGACCGAUGUGAAAUCCCCGGGCUUAACCUGGGAAUGGCAUUGGUGACUGCACGGCUAGAGUGUGUCAGAGGGGGGUAGAAUGCCACGUGUAGCAGUGAAAUGCGUAGAGAUGUGGAGGAAUACCGAUGGCGAAGGCAGCCCCCUGGGAUAACACUGACGCUCAUGCACGAAAGCGUGGGGAGCAAACAGG